rnacentral:rRNA from 1 species
UGGGGAAUUUUGGACAAUGGGCGAAAGCCUGAUCCAGCAAUGCCGCGUGUGUGAAGAAGGCCUUCGGGUUGUAAAGCACUUUUGUCCGGAAAGAAAUCCUUGGCUCUAAUACAGUCGGGGGAUGACGGUACCGGAAGAAUAAGCACCGGCUAACUACGUGCCAGCAGCCGCGGUAAUACGUAGGGUGCAAGCGUUAAUCGGAAUUACUGGGCGUAAAGCGUGCACAGGCGGUUUGCUAAGACCGAUGUGAAAUCCCCGGGCUCAACCUGGGAACUGCAUUGGUGACUGGCAGGCUAGAGUAUGGCAGAGGGGGGUAGAAUUCCACGUGUAGCAGUGAAAUGCGUAGAGAUGUGGAGGAAUACCGAUGGCGAAGGCAGCCCCCUGGGCCAAUACUGACGCUCAUGCACGAAAGCGUGGGGAGCAAACAGGAUUAGAUACCCUGGUAGUCCAUGCCCUAAACGAUGUCAACUAGUUGUUGGGGAUUCAUUCUUAGUAACGUAGCUAACGCGUGAAGUUGACCGCCUGGGGAGUACGGUCGCAAGAUUAAAACUCAAAGGAAUUGACGGGGUCAUAGCUGUUUCCU